AAAAAAAGGAGUACUUGUGGCACCUUGGAGACUAACAGGUUUGUUUGGGCAUGAGCUUUCGUGAGCUACAGCUCACUUCAUCGGAUGCAUUCAGAUGAAGUGAACUGUAGCUCGCGAGGGCUUGUGCUCGAAUGGAUUUGUUGGUCUCUGCGGUGCCUCAAGUACUCCUUUUCUUUUUUCUAGCUGUAUGUU